GACGAACGCUGGCGGCGUGCCUAAUACAUGCAAGUCGUGCGGACCUUUUAAAAGCUUGCUUUUAAAAGGUUAGCGGCGGACGGGUGAGUAACACGUGGGCAACCUGCCUGUAAGAUCGGGAUAACGCCGGGAAACCGGGGCUAAUACCGGAUAGUUUUUUCCUCCGCAUGGAGGAAAAAGGAAAGACGGCUUCGGCUGUCACUUACAGAUGGGCCCGCGGCGCAUUAGCUUGUUGGUGGGGUAACGGCUCACCAAGGCAACGAUGCGUAGCCGACCUGAGAGGGUGAUCGGCCACAUUGGGACUGAGACACGGCCCAAACUCCUACGGGAGGCAGCAGUAGGGAAUCUUCCGCAAUGGACGAAAGUCUGACGGAGCAACGCCGCGUGAGUGAAGAAGGCCUUCGGGUCGUAAAACUCUGUUGCCGGGGAAGAACAAGUGCCGUUCGAACAGGGCGGCGCCUUGACGGUACCCGGCCAGAAAGCCACGGCUAACUAC
rnacentral:rRNA from 1 species